UCAUGAUUAUAUGUCUUGUAUCAGUUCGAAAUUGUUGGGUUAUUCACUCCGGUCACUCCACCGAAAGAGUUCUUGGGUGGCUUGAGUUCUCUGAAUUUGUGCGUGUAUCAGAUUGGGAGGUGGAUUGAGGAGGAUGCUUCCGUUCUUGUUCCUGCUGAUAUAAAUCAUAUAAUCAACAUUAAGUUUGGGGAUAUUAUUCCAGCACAUGCUUGUCUCCUCGAUGGUGAUCCACUGAAAUUGAUCAGUCUACACUUGUCGGUGAGUCACUUCCUGUGAUCAAAGGCCCUGGUGACAUUGUGUAUUUGGGGUCUACAUGAAAACAAGGAGAGAUUGAAGCUGUGGUGAUUGCCACUAGUGUUCAUACCUUUUUUGGCAAGGCUGCUCAUCUUGUCGAUAACACAAAUCAACAGGCCCACUUUUAAAAGUGCUAGUGGGAUUCCAGGAGAGAAUAUGGGUGUUAUUAUACAAUUCCUCUUGAUCAUGGUCAAUCUGGGAGGACAGAUAGCCUCUUGUAUAUCCUUCAUGGACUCUGCUAACCUAUGCUUCGAUGACUAUUGGUUUUCUUUGGUUGCUGGGAUAUUGAAGACAAAAUAAAAGAGAAGAAAAUGAAAUGAAAUGGGCAUGUCCUUCAUUUUCUCUAUGGUUUUCUGGGUGCAGAAACAUACUGUGAUUGAGUCCAAGCCUGAACAUUUUCUGGAUGACCUUCGUUUGAAUAAUCCAUGGCCUGAGCUUAGAAGGUCCAGAGUUGCAACAAAUAAUUAGUGACAGCCGUUCUUAAGUUCAUUCCGGUUAAUCAGACUUUUGGGUCAUGGUGGCGGCAUUGAAGAUUUGUGAAACCAAGAUUGAAUCUGCGACAACUGGAUAUAGUGUGCAUAAAUUAGAUCUGUUUAUCUUGGAAUUCCUAGCAAAUGAAGGUGGUGGUGAGGCACCCCUCGAGGGAUCAGUACCAGAUAUAACAUCUUCAACUGAGCACUAUGUAGCUUUACAGAAAACCUACCAAGCCAAGGCUGAGGCUGAUUUUCUAGUAUUGACCAAAGGGUUAGGACUCUUCUAAAGAGAAUUAGUAGAGAUCCUAGUAGCAACUCAAAGGCAACUGUUAUAAGUUUCUGCAAGAAUGCUAGAAAACUCAAAGUAAGUGUGUGGAGUUUUAUAGUGUCAUUUACUUGUAUUCGAUCUGUUUGAUUGUUGGUUUGAUCUUAUUUGAGCUCCUGAAUUUGUUUCUUUCGUUCAAAUUUUGAAGACUGUAAAGAGUUAAUUGGGACGGGGCUUGGCAAUUGGAUCCAUAUAGAUUCCAAACUACUUGUAUUUUCCCUUCAUCUUCUGUUUUGAAAUUGGUCUUUGUUGUUUGGUUUUUAAAAUGUUGGACAGCCAUUUUGAUUGAGUUCUUGUUGUUAGAUAGUUUCUUUUGAUUCCUCGUGCAGUUCGCAUCUGUUUCGUUACUUUUUCCAGAGCUAUGAAUUAAGUAUGUGUGAUUUUUGUUUUCUACUAAUUAUGUAGGCAUUGUGCUAUUUGAAUUUGAGUUUCUGGAAUUAUAUAUGAGAAUAGGGUGAAGUUUUUGAAGAGUUUCAAAGAGGCUAUGGGCUGCUGAGCUAGAGUGGAAUAUAGGGCAGCCCAUAGCCUCUUUGAAUCUGAUUGUUUGGA